rnacentral:rRNA from 1 species
AACGAACGCUGGCGGCAGGCUUAACACAUGCAAGUCGAGCGCCCCGCAAGGGGAGCGGCAGACGGGUGAGUAACACGUGGGGAUCUGCCCAAUGGUACGGAAUAACUCAGGGAAACUUGUGCUAAUACCGUAUGUGCCCGCAAGGGGAAAGAUUUAUCGCCAUUGGAUGAACCCGCGUCGGAUUAGCUAGUUGGUGUGGUAAAGGCGCACCAAGGCGACGAUCCGUAGCUGGUCUGAGAGGAUGAUCAGCCACACUGGGACUGAGACACGGCCCAGACUCCUACGGGAGGCAGCAGUGGGGAAUAUUGGACAAUGGGCGCAAGCCUGAUCCAGCCAUGCCGCGUGAGUGAUGAAGGCCUUAGGGUUGUAAAGCUCUUUCACCGAUGAAGAUAAUGACGGUAGUCGGAGAAGAAGCCCCGGCUAACUUCGUGCCAGCAGCCGCCGCAGUAA